rnacentral:rRNA from 1 species
GACGAACGCUGGCGGCGUGCUUAACACAUGCAAGUCGAACGGAAAGGCCCUGCUUUUGUGGGGUGCUCGAGUGGCGAACGGGUGAGUAACACGUGAGUAACCUGCCCUUGACUUUGGGAAAACUUCAGGAAACUGGGGCUAAUACCGGAUAGGAGCGCCUGCUGCAUGGUGGGGGGUGGAAAGGUUCGGCGGUUGGGGAUGGACUCGCGGCUUAUCAGCUUGUUGGUGGGGGAGUGGCUUACCAAGGCUUUGACGGGUAGCCGGCCUGAGAGGGUGACCGGCAACAUUGGGACUGAGAUACGGGCCAGAGUCCUGAGGGAGGCAGCAGUGGGGAAUAUUGCACAAUGGGCGGAAGCCUGAUGCAGCAACGCCGCGUGCGGGAUGACGGCCUUCGGGUUGUAAACCGCUUUCGCCUGUGACGAAGCGUGAGUGACGGUAAUGGGUAAAGAAGCACCGGCUAACUACGUG